GGCGGACGGGUGAGUAACGCGUAAAGAACUUGACCUUUAGACUGGGAUAACAGAGGGAAACUUCUGAUAAUACUGGAUAAGUUAGUAUAUCGCAUGAUAUGCAAAUGAAAGCUACGGCACUAAAGGAGAGCUUUGCGUCCUAUUAGCUAGUUGGUAAGGUAAGAGCUUACCAAGGCGAUGAUAGGUAGCCGGCCUGAGAGGGUGGACGGCCACAAGGGGACUGAGAUACGGCCCUUACUCCUACGGGAGGCAGCAGGU
rnacentral:rRNA from 1 species